UACGGGGGGGGCAAGCGUUGUUCGGAAUUACUGGGCGUAAAGGGCUCGUAGGUGGCCAACUAAGUCAGACGUGAAAUCCCCAGGCUCAACUUGGGAACUGCGUCUGAUACUGGAUGGCUUGAAUUCGGGAGAGGGAUGCAGAAUUCCAGGUGUAGCGGUGAAAUGCGUAGAUAUCUGGAGGAAUACCGGUGGCGAAGGCGGCAUCCUGGACCGACAUUGACGCUGAUGAGCGAAAGCUAGGGGAGCAAACAGG
rnacentral:rRNA from 1 species